rnacentral:tRNA from 1 species
UCCAGGGUAGCCUAGUGGACAUGGAUCUGCCCGGUAAGCGGAACAUUGUGGGUUCGAUUCCCAUCCCUGGAC